rnacentral:lncRNA from 1 species
AAUUAUGUUCCAUUGGUCAUUUUCAUUUUCUACCAAUCUUUACUUCUGUGACAGUGAGAUAGUGUGAUGUGUUUACUAGGAUAGUGUAGCUCAUUCCUUACUUAACCAUUUCAGAUCAGGAGGACUUGGUUCCCGAGCCCGUUCUGCAGGAAGACGGCGAGUAGAAGCAAAAGAAUUUAUUAGUUUUCCUUACAGCAUUCAUUCAUAGUAUUUCCUUUAAGUUAGUUUAUUCUUUCAUACAUUUAAUUUGUUUUGGUUAUUGUGUAAGGGAUGUUAAUCAAAAUCUAUUUUAUUUCGUUUCCGCACUUAGAAUAAAUAUAUACAUUUCCUUUUAAUUUUCGGGGCCAUUACAGUUGGUAUCAGAGCCGCGUUCCUCGGACCCGCCCUUACACAAUAAUACUUAGAGGAAUACCAAAUUGAGAAUUAUUACUCAACCAUUCCUUGUGAAAUCCAGGUGCAGAGAGAUGAGGAGAGGGAGACCCCCACUAAACCGAGCAGCCCGAGAUGAUUUGCUUCGGGAGGAUGUUGACAGAAUAUUUGAGAUGCUCGAAAGGAUCAUGGCUGCUCAACAAGGUCGAAAGGAGAGAAGGGAAUUACCCGACCCU